UACAGAGGUCUCAAGCGUUGUUCGGAUUCAUUGGGCGUAAAGGGUGUGUAGGUGGCGCGCUAAGUCGGGUGUGAAAUUUCGGAGCUUAACUCCGAAACUGCAUUCGAUACUGGCGUGCUUGAGGACUGGAGAGGAAACUGGAAUUCAUGGUGUAGCAGUGAAAUGCGUAGAGAUCAUGAGGAAGACCAGUGGCGAAGGCGGGUCUCUGGACAGUUCCUGACACUGAGACACGAAGGCCAGGGGAGCAAACGGG
rnacentral:rRNA from 1 species